rnacentral:ncRNA from 1 species
GGGUAACUGUUAAUUAUCGAAAAUCUGGUUAAUAGCGGUCUUAACUAUGAGGAUCAAAAUUAGGGUCCUCUAUAAACUUAGCUAUAUGCUGGAAACCUUAAAAUUAUAAAUUAUCAUUAUUUUUGUUUUUAUCUAAAUUAAUUUUUAUAAUUUAAUAUUAUUUAAUUAUAACUUUUUUUGUUUAUAAAUAAAUAGAUAAAUAAAUAACUAAAUAAAUAAAUAGAUAAAUAGAUAAAUAAGCCAGUAAUUUAAAUUAAUAAAUAAGUGAUUAAACUUAAUGACUUAAAAUAAUUUAUUAUUAGAAAAUAAAGGUAACCAGCAGGGAAAAUUAAAAGUAAAUUUUUAUUAAAUUAAUUAUCUUUUUAAUAGUUUUUUUUAUUUAUUUAAUAUGCCCUCAGAGAUUGCAAGCUAAGCAAUUUUUAUUUUUAUUUUAAAUAAAAAAUAUUAAUAUUAAUUGAUGAUACAAUCCACAAAUAACUUAAAAUAUAAUCUAAAGUUAUAACUUAAAAUAUAAUCUAAAGUUUUUUUGCCUAAGGUAGCAAAAUAAAUUGGCCA